GGAUGCGAUCAUCACUAGCACUAAUGCACCGGAUCCCAUCAGAACUCCGAAGUUAAGCGUGCGUUGGCGAGCGUAGUACUAGGAUGGUGACCCCAUGGGAAGUCCUCGUGUUGCAUCCC
rnacentral:rRNA from 1 species